UUGUGCAUGUGCAUGCAUUUGUAUGUGUGUGAGUGUGUUUGUGCGUGUGUGCGUGUUUAUGCAGGUGUCCGUUUGUACAUGUGCACACAUGAGUCUGUGCAUGUGUGUACACGUGUGCGCGUGUGUGUGCAUACGUGCUCAGUAAGCUUGCACAACUGCAAGUGGGCAAACCCUAGCCAGAACUUUUUUUUUUUUUUCAGUUGACCUCACCUCCAGGUGUUUCACCUUGAAUUCCCCCGGCCAGGGUCCUGCCUCUGGGCAGCGCCUGUGUCUGGGUAGGUUCUGUGGGACCCCCGCGGCUCCUGUACCGGCAGACAGGAAGAGGAAGAGGAAGAGGAAGUCACCGGCUCCCUCAGGCUGACUGACGGCCCCUUCCUCAGGAGCCGGGGAACAGCAGGUAUCAAGAAGAAGUAAACUUAAUUGUUUACUACGUACAACCACAGGGAGAGAGAAAAGCGAGAUCGAGGCCCCUGGGAGGCGGAGCGUGUCCUUCAGUUUGUGCCCCCAAGAAAAGUGCCUCCACUGGGACGCUUGACCGCUGUAAACCAUCAGUCACACGCAAGACGUAUGCAAGAGUCUGACCCCACCCCCUCCCCCGUGAGUCCAUUUUCAGAGGAGGAGGGAAUGCUGAAACGGGGUCUGAAGGAGAGGUUUAAGGUUCCACAAGACCCCACAGAAACGCUGAAAGGAAACCCACCAGCCUCCACCCUAACGGACAGCUCCCACGGGGCAGCCUAGCGUUCUGGCGGCGUCGAAACAGGGAGUGAGUUUCCAUCCCUGCUCCCCUCCGCCCUAUGCCCCUGGCAUCGCCGGCUCACACGUUUCAUCGGUGUCGUUGUUGGGAGUCUUUUUGCCCAGAAAACAUCUGUUGCCCGGCCUCCGAGUGGGGAGAUCCCUGUCAGAUACUCAUGGUCUGCUGCAGCGAGCGACGUGUGGAUGGGCCUCAACACAGCCAGUGCAUCGUCCCCCGUAGCCUUCACCAGCGUCUCCAGUGAGUGGAGGGACGCGGUGACGGAGCAGAAGCUCAUAAAACUCGAGUCAGGUUCAAAAGAGACUGUCCCGAAAAGCCAUCUUUAAAAAAAUAAAUUAACAUUUAGCCAAAAAUAAAAACCUCUGCCAAAUACCUAAAUAUAGACGGCUUCAUUACCCUCAAAUCAGCCCGGGAAGAAUGCAGAGGCUGGCGGCGGCGAGCGCGGGAGGAACUGCGUGCGGGGAACUGCAGUGCGCUCUGCAAUCAAGAGGAAUUACAAUUACAGCGGCGCCCGCUAAUCCCGGAAAAUCAAAACACAGUUAAGCAGACACUCGAGCCCAUUAGAGGCCCUCGGCACCGCGCACAGGACCCGGCGUCCUCCUCCUCCUCCCCACCCACCCGAGGAAUGAGAACGAGGGCCGU